rnacentral:rRNA from 1 species
CGUACCUUUUGCAUCAUGGCUUUACAAGUGUUUAUUCUUAGGAAGGCUCCCGAAAGUUUAGCGAUCUAUUUUUUUACUGAGGUUGGCGUAGAAGGCUAUCUUUAGAUGGAAGAAUAGUGGCGAAAUACCUUUCGCGCUGACUAAUAGCUGGUUGUUUUGUAAAUAUAUUUAAGUAUAGGUCCCACCUAGAAGCUAAUGGGAUUAGACCUUUAGUUUUUGGUGGGAGCCCAUUUUCUUCAGGCUAAGCUGAGGAAAAGGAUAAAAGGUUUUUAGAGAAAAGAGAUGGAAAGUGGGCUUAAAGAAGCCAUCUUUUUAGAGUGGGUUAAUCCUCAGUAUUUCUAGUUAAUGAUCAAAUGAAGUUCCUUUUGUUCAACAAAACUUCUUCACGAAACUAAGGAGUGAAGGUAAUAAUGUAAAGAUGAGUAGCUCAGUUUUUGGGGUUUAUUUGGUUCAGGAAAUUAAACGCUAAGUGAACGAUGAUGAUAAGCAAAGCUAAAGGAACUCGGCAACAACGAAAACCGCCUGUUUAGCAAAAACAUGGCUCCUUGAAAUCAUAAGGGGUCGUGCCUUCCCGGUGAGUUUAAACUUAAACGGACGCGGUA